AUCAAAAAAAACUGAACAGAUUUGAAAUUGAAAGCAAUUUCAAAUCUGUUCAGUUUUUUUUGAUACACCCUAUA